rnacentral:rRNA from 1 species
CCUCGGGCGUCAGCAGUGGGGAAUAUUGGACAAUGGGCGAAAGCCUGAUCCAGCCAUGCCGCGUGUGUGAAGAAGGCCUUCGGGUUGUAAAGCACUUUCAGUGGGGAAGAAAGCCUUGGGGCUAAUACCCUCGAGGAAGGACAUCACCCACAGAAGAAGCACCGGCUAACUCCGUGCCAGCAGCCGCGGUAAUACGGAGGGUGCGAGCGUUAAUCGGAAUUACUGGGCGUAAAGCGCGCGUAGGCGGUCUGAUAAGCCGGUUGUGAAAGCCCCGGGCUCAACCUGGGAACGGCAUCCGGAACUGUCAGGCUAGAGUGCAGGAGAGGAAGGUAGAAUUCCCGGUGUAGCGGUGAAAUGCGUAGAGAUCGGGAGGAAUACCAGUGGCGAAGGCGGCCUUCUGGACUGACACUGACGCUGAGGUGCGAAAGCGUGGGUAGCAAACAGGAUUAGAUACCCGUGUAGUC